GUCACGCCCCGGGACCCAGCGGAAGCCCGCCCGGCGCGUGCCCAGACCCGCCAUAUGUCUACAACAUAUAAGGCGUCUAAAAGCAACAAUAAUAAAAGCAAUAAUACAAGACAUCUAGGAGUAUCAGAGCAUAGUAAAUGUCUAAUUGCUACAACCAGGGAUAAAGUUAAAACUGUAAAUCCACUAAAUAAAACAUAAAGUAAGUACAAUAGGGAUCCCAUAACAAGUGCUAAAAGUAGGUACACAGGUGGUCUCUCUAUACAUGGAAACCAAAAGCCUCACGCUCUCUCAAAAUAUAAAAUGGAGAAGAAGCGACCACCUAGCGCAAAAGAAACUCUCCCGGCUAGCUACGCGACACCCUUGCCGCGAUCCCGUGCCUCCGCCGGUGCCGAAGGCUCUGAAAAG
rnacentral:lncRNA from 1 species